UACAGAGGGUGCGAGCGUUAAUCGGAAUUACUGGGCGUAAAGGGCUCGUAGGUGGCCAACUAAGUCAGACGUGAAAUCCCUCGGCUUAACCGGGGAACUGCGUCUGAUACUGGUUGGCUCGAGUUUGGGAGAGGGAUGCGGAAUUCCUGGUGUAGCGGUGAAAUGCGCAGAUAUCAGGAAGAACACCGGUGGCGAAGGCGGCCACCUGGACGGUAACUGACGCUGAGACGCGAAAGCGUGGGGAGCAAACAGG
rnacentral:rRNA from 1 species